rnacentral:misc_RNA from 1 species
CUGCCCUCAAGCCCGGCUUGUGUGUUGGGCCUCGUCCCCCCUCCGGGGGACGGGCCCGAAAGGCAGCGGCGGCACCGUGUCCGGUCCUCGAGCGUAUGGGGCUUUGUCACCCGCUCUGUAGGCCCGGCCGGCGCCUUAGCCGACGACACAAUCUUUUUUUCAGG